rnacentral:rRNA from 1 species
UGCAAGUCGAGCGGAUGAAGGGAGCUUGCUCUCUGAUUCAGCGGCGGACGGGUGAGUAAUGCCUAGGAAUCUGCCUGAUAGUGGGGGACAACGUUUCGAAAGGAACGCUAAUACCGCAUACGUCCUACGGGAGAAAGCAGGGGACCUUCGGGCCUUGCGCUAUCAGAUGAGCCUAGGUCGGAUUAGCUAGUUGGUGAGGUAACGGCUCACCAAGGCGACGAUCCGUAACUGGUCUGAGAGGAUGAUCAGUCACACUGGAACUGAGACACGGUCCAGACUCCUACGGGAGGCAGCAGUGGGGAAUAUUGGACAAUGGGCGAAAGCCUGAUCCAGCCAUGCCGCGUGUGUGAAGAAGGUCUUCGGAUUGUAAAGCACUUUAAGUUGGGAGGAAGGGCAUUAACCUAAUACGUUAGUGUUUUGACGUUACCGACAGAAUAAGCACCGGCUAACUUCGUGCCAGCAGCCGCGGUAAUACGAAGGGUGCAAGCGUUAAUCGGAAUUACUGGGCGUAAAGCGCGCGUAGGUGGUUUGUUAAGUUGAAUGUGAAAGCCCCGGGCUCAACCUGGGAACUGCAUCCAAAACUGGCAAGCUAGAGUAUGGCAGAGGGUGGUGGAAUUUCCUGUGUAGCGGUGAAAUGCGUAGAUAUAGGAAAGGAACACCCAGUGGCGAAGGCGACCACCUGGGCCUAAUACUGACACUGAGGUGCGAAAGCGUGGGGAGCAAACAGGAUAAGAUACCCUGUUAGUCCACCCGUAACGAUGUCGACUAGCCUUGGGAUCCUUGAAAUCUUAUGGCGCCACUACGCAUUAAGUUCA